GAAAAAUAUUUGGACAAAUCACUAGCGGUACCCAGAUCUUCUAUUCUUGUCAUUCUUACGAUUGGCUGCAUUGCUGUUUUCUACCUUGCAUCUUCUUUCUUUUCCACAAAAGGAUUCUUUUAUUCCACCACAGGAACAAGUAUGCAAAGCAAAAAUGCUAAGAAUCAUAGAGAUUCUGAGAAGUACGUGUAUUGGGGCAACAGAAUUGACUGUCCUGGGAAGCACUGCAAGUCUUGUGAAGGUCUUGCCCACCAGCAAUCCAGCCUCAGGCGUGCUCUUGAGGAAGCAAUAAUGUAUCUUCAGAGGUGGGCAGCUAGCUCUUGCUCAAUGUAUUCCUUGUAUUAUCUUGAUCUCAUAUCAGAAAUGGCUAAUAACAGUGGAAUCGGGUGCUAUUGACAAGCAAGAAAUUGGAAUCCUGAGGGACUGCCAAUGUGGCCGGGAGGACCUCAGAUCAAAAAGUUUGUAUUCGAAUAUUUUACUCGUAAAUCGAACAGCAAUGUCUCUGUCAUGGUAUUAAUCAUGGUAAUCAUUCAAGUUCAUGAAGUGCAAGGAUCAGAAUAACCGUAGUGCUAUUCUCGUCAUAUUAUUUUCUUCCUUUAGUGGCUGGCAUGAAGUCGAAGAUUGGAGCAGAAAAGAUUAAGGUGCUUCCUGGUGAUUGUGAUGCUAUCCAUGUCAGAUGAGGUGAUAAAUUGAAAACUCAUAAGGAUAGGUUCGGCAUUGAUCGGUCUUGGUAUCCUUAUCUUGAUGGGGAUACCCGUCAAGAAUUUAUUUCCUGCAGAAUUGCAAAAUGGGUCCCACAGAACAAACCUUUUUUAUUGCUUCAAAUGAGAGGACCAUCUUGCCCAUCUUGCCUCAAGGUAUAUUACCUUCCACUCUGAUCCUUCUGAACUUUAUAUGAUUGUCAUCUUGGGAGUAACAGUAGAUCAAAAUUUUGUAUAUCCUUUGCAAACCCCCCUUGAAAAAAAAGAAAAGAAAAAGAAAAAGGCCUUUUACUUGUCAAAUAUUUAGAUAAAUUUUUUUGCCUUGGUAGUUUUAUGAGUUCUAAUACCGUUCCUUGUGUCAAUUUUCUUUCUGCCAGGAGUCACUUUUUAGGUGGAAAAUUUUUCCUCUUGAAUUGUAGCUUGGUUGUGCUAAGCUACUCAGGAAAAGUAUCAUUACCCUUUUGUGUCUUUUCUCAUGGUUAUCUAAUGUACAAAUACUCCUUUGACUGUAUUGUAAGUGAUUUAGUAAUGUUAAUCUUUCCUGUUUGGUUUAACAUUUCCUGAUCAGGACAUCAUAUGGGUUGGAAGACUAGAAAAUUGUCCUUUCUUCUUUGUAUUUGUUUGUGUGGUUUACAAUUAAUGGAGUGCGUUUGAUCUUGGAGUUCUUCUCAACCAAAUUUACGAUUGAACAAGAAGAGUUCAACAUGGAUGGAUUGCACUGUGUACAACUUGGCAUACUCAUCAAACUGCAGCAGCAUCUUGAAUCCAGUAAUUGAAAACAAAUAUCAACUCUUUAUGGUAGAGAGACUAAUCAUGAUGGGAGCCAAGACAUUCAUCAGAAUGUUCAAGGAAGAUUACAAUGAUCUUAGCCUCACCGAUCAUCCAAAAAAGAAUUGUCAGGAGAAUUAGGAUGUAUGUAUGUACCUUUAGAUCCACAGGAAAAAAAAGCUUCAUUCUUUUUGUUUAAAGUCCAUGAUAUGAUACAUACAAUGCAUUUAUUAUUUGAUAGUCAUGAUACAUUACAUACAUACAAUAUGCUUAUUAUUUGAAUAUC